CCUCUCAUCCCCCAAGCAUCUGUGAAGAUCAUGCCUUCACCCACCUCACCCAAUACAGCAUGUGCUCCCUGGGGAACAGGACAGAAGUGGCCAUGGGGACAGCACGAACCAGCAGCCCUCUGCUUCCAGCUGCUCUCAGAGGCACAGGCAGGCCUUCCAAGGCUCAGUAAUGAAUCCUCCUUGGAAUGCUGACAAGAACGACACCUUCCUUCCCAAAGCCCAGAGAAAAGAGCCUCCUAUGUGACCUGUCCCACUGACCCUGGUGCGUGGUCCCCACCGCUCUGCCAUCCUGAGGGCCCAGCACGCCUGACUCCUACCUCCUGGGGAGGCUAAAAGGCUCCCAGCCCAGCAGCACCGCACUGGAAUUUGACUCCUCAGUUACAGAAAUGUGUGGCAAGCCAAUGGAAUCAGGCCUCUCGCUGAUUUCAUCGUUGAAGUAAAUGGUGCCCAUCUUUCAAGCUUGACAUAGCAUUCCUUCCAGAAGUAGCCUCACUUUUAUGUGGUCUUCAUAACUAUUUAUUUUGAACUCAAGAUCACAUUAAAAAUAGUCAUGCAAUUUUUACGAUUAUCACAAAAAAGACAGGGUUGAAAGGGCUAAAGAGAGGAGGCAUGUGAAGGGAACGGAGCACUGGGAUUAUUUCUGGGUUUGCCUUGGAUCCCUUGUACCUGAGCCCUUAUGUAGUGAUGUUCAGUAACUGAGGAGAGAAUUGUUAAGAGUCUCAGAGCUCCCUACCCAUCCCUGUCUCCCCUUACUACAGGGUCAAAAGUUAACAGAAGAUCCAGCUGAGAAGGGGUCAGGUGGCUUUGUCAGGCAGUUAGGGUGACUGUGCCCCCUGAAAGUGAAAAGGCAGGAUGGUCUGCACUUGCUAGAGAUCUAAGGAUCAUCUGACUUCUUAUCUCUAGUUCCCCAGACCUGUUUUUGCAUAUCUGAGUCCUUCUUGGAAGGGAGGUCUCUUUUUCUAGAAUCCAAAGCGAAUUCUGACAUUGUGGUUGGUCAAACUUAGACGCCAGAACUUGGCUGGCCUUGUCCUAAGCCAGCCUCUAGCCCAGACCAAUCAGCUCUCUCUCUGGCUUACCUGAGCUGGAAGGGGAACCCCACCAUGGUAAGGUCUGAAAUACGUGCUUGCAUGGGAACAAACUUGUCCCUGGGCUGCCUGUCCUCCCCUGAACCUCCAGGUUCUGGUGAGUUUCCCCUCAUCUUGGACUGGGCCAGGACGAGGGAGAACCCCCUGACCUCUACUUCCACAUGGGCUCUCUACGCCUUCUCCCUCCACGGCAGGAGCUCUUGGUAUUUUCCUGUCAUCUCUAACUUUCUUUUCACGGUUUUUCUGGGCUUACCAUUUGGGCUCUCAGACCCCGUGGGUGUAUUUGUUUUCCUUCCCUUGUUUCUGUGCUUCCCUCGAUAAAUAUAAUUAUCUAAUAA